GGACGAACGCUGGCGGCGUGCUUAACACAUGCAAGUCGACCGGAAAGGCCCUGCUUUUGUGGGGUGCUCGAGUGGCGAACGGGUGAGUAACACGUGAGUAACCUGCCCUUGACUUUGGGAUAACUUCAGGAAACUGGGGCUAAUACCGGAUAGGAGCUCCUGCUGCAUGGUGGGGGUUGGAAAGUUUCGGCGGUUGGGGAUGGACUCGCGGCUUAUCAGCUUGUUGGCGGGGUAGUGGCUUACCAAGGCUUUGACGGGUAGCCGGCCUGAGAGGGUGACCGGCCACAUUGGGACUGAGAUACGGCCCAGACUCCUACGGGAGGCAGCAGGGGGGAAUAUUGCACAAUGGGCGGAAGCCUGAUGCAGCAACGCCGCGUGCGGGAUGACGGCCUUCGGGUUGUAAACCGCUUUCGCCUGUGACGAAGCGUGAGUGACGGUAAUGGGUAAAGAAGCACCGGCUAACUACGUG
rnacentral:rRNA from 1 species